AUUAUAUAAUAAUAUUUCUCGAGUUUAUUUAAAAGAAAUUGAGUUUGAUUAUGCAAUUAGUGAAUAGCUAAUAUUCUUUAUUUAGUUAAUCGUAUGGUAAUAUUUUAGUGGAAUUACUUUUAAUGUAAACUCUUAAUAGUAGUAUACAACUUAUGUUUUGAAAAGGAAAGUAGAUGUUUUCUUUUAGAUAUAUAUAUAUGUAUAAGGAGAGAAGUUUAAGAUAAUUUGGCCCAAUUAGGAAGCAAAAGUCGGUUAUUCCCUUAACUUGGUUUUUUUUUAGUCGGUUGAAAGAGGGUUGCCUUUGUUGUUUUUGUCGGUUCAAGAAACAAAACCCCUUCCCUUUCCUUUCUUUGUCUCUCUCGUGGGUUCUAAAACUCAAAACCCAAAAGAGAACCCCAACCCUCAAAGCUGAAAACCCGUGAAACCUCUUCUCUCUUGCAUCUCUCUCUCUCUGCUUGCGUUCUAUCCUCUCAGGCGAGUGAGUUUCGCACGUCCUUCCACCGCAAGCUGGCGGCAUCUGCCGUCCUUUUCCUUUGCCCUUGUCGCGAGUAGUUGCUGUUCGCAAGUGUGGUGCUCGUGCACCGUCUCUCUUCCCUUUGUUUUGUUGUUGUUGUUGCUGUUUUGCGUCGCACCACGGCGCGGGGGAACCGCCGGAGCUUUGCUCCCUCUUCCUUGUUUGUGGGUACAUGAAGGUAAUGUAUAAUGAAGAACGUUCGAUGUUGGAUGUUUGUUGUAUCCUUUAUACUAGUUGUAUCUCGGCGAGGACGAUCAACUUUGUAAUAUUAUAGUAGUUAAUAGUUAAUUUGUAAUUAAAUUAAAAAGGUUUGAGUUUGUAAAGUCUAGACUUGUUUGGGUUGCUGGAUUUUGAGGAUACAGGAUUACGAAUCGGACGCGAGUCCUAAAUUAAGUUUUAGGCGGUCCGUAUUACAAAUGGAACUCUGCCGAAUUUUCUGUAGAAUCUUAGUAACAUAUCUAGUUGUUUAAAAUAUUUGAGGAUCAAUUAAUAUAGUUAUUAGAGUUAGAGGUUCUAAUAUAUUCAUUGGAUUCUAAAAGUUUUAGUAAGUCAAGGUUUUUGAGGUCCAUACUCGUGGUGAGUGUGAUGGUAAUAACCCGGAUUAGGAUUUCCGUUGUGUUUAGUUCCUAAUUAGGUUGGUUAUAGGUUCGGGUUGUUACAAAUGGUAUCAGAGCAGGGUUUGUUUUUAGGUACACACGGAUCUUCAUAUCCAUGUGUAGGAGUUAAAUAAGUUGAGAAAUGAGUUGGAUAAAAGUUAGGAGUAAAAUAAAUCAAGCCGUCGAGAGUUCGCGCUUGCCUUUACGUUGUGUAUGAAUGAUAUGUGAAUCAUUUGAAGUUGUUGUUUAAUGUGAAUGACGUGUAUUCAAAUAUGUGCAUAUAUGUAAUUAUAUAUAUACAUGCUAAACCAUAUGCUUAGGUAUUAUAUGAAAGAGUGUGCAUAAGAAGCGUGUUUGUGGGUCUAUAACCCCUGUUAUUGUAUUGAUUAGGUGAAUUGUUUUGCCAACGUGGAAACUACUUUAUGGGAAAAUUAGUAAAUUAUUGGUUCCUUAUGUAAAGGAAGUAAGAUAAAGAUUUGAGAACAAGACUUACUUAAGGGGUGAAGAGUUUAAUAGUUUUGGUUGUAAUGGAGUUGUGACUGUUAUUAUAUUAUAGUUAUUAUAAUAAUAUUACAUUAUCGCUCCUUGGAUUUCAUGUAAAAAGAAUUUCUUUUAGUGAAGUUACUGAAAGUUUCGCUUAUCAUCGUAGGAAUUUGAAAUGGUUUUUGAGAUGAUUUGAAAUAAAAAUGAUCUACCUUGAGAGUAAAGCGUGAAACGUCUCGAGAUUAGUUAUGCUUUGAGCUUUGUGUGAUUACAUGGCUUUUAUUCAUCCAUGUAAUAAUGUGUUUAUGUGAAAAUAUAUGACUGUUUCUUUAAGGAUUAGUUAGAGUGUGCGGUGUAAGCAUGGUAAGAGUUUUGGGGACAAAACUCAUUUCGAGGAGGGGAUAGUUUAAUAGCUCUUAUUUAGAUUAAAGCUCUAUUAUAUUAUUAUUAAUUGUUUGGGUUUAAAGAAGGAGAAUUCAUCCGAUUAAAGUUUGAAAGUUUGUUAUAUCUUUGAAAUGAUUAAAUAGUAGUUUUAAAUGAUGAGAAAGUGGAGUUAUUUGUUUCGAAGUUGUGUAGUAAAGAGUUUGAUUUGGUUUAGAAAUGAAUUGAUGUGUUUUGAAACGAGAUCUCUCGAAAUGGAAUGAUUAGAGUUCAAUGCCAACUAGUUUGCCCCUUUGUAGUUUUUGCUCCUCGAUGAACCUAGGCAUUGAGUUGAAGCGAGACACAAAAAUGAUGGCAGAACGUAGGUUUGACUCUUAAUUCCGAAGUUUAGAGCUCUUGGUUCUAAAUGUUUGGAUUUUUAUCUUUGUUUAUUUUUAAGUUUCGAGGGCGAAACUUUUUGCGAGGGUGGUAUAUUGUAAUACCCCUAUUUUAAAGUGUAUUUUAUUAAGUGCUAAGUAUGAUUACUAGCCUUAUUAUAUAAUAAUAUUUCUCGAGUUUAUUUAAAAGAAAUUGAGUUUGAUUAUGCAAUUAGUGAAUAGCUAAUAUUCUUUAUUUAGUUAAUCGUAUGGUAAUAUUUUAGUGGAAUUACUUUUAAUGUAAACUCUUAAUAGUAGUAUACAACUUAUGUUUUGAAAAGGAAAGUAGAUGUUUUCUUUUAGAUAUAUAUAUAUGUAUAAGGAGAGAAGUUUAAGAUAAUUUGGCCCAAUUAGGAAGCAAAAGUCGGUUAUUCCCUUAACUUGGUUUUUUUUUAGUCGGUUGAAAGAGGGUUGCCUUUGUUGUUUUUGUCGGUUCAAGAAACAAAACCCCUUCCCUUUCCUUUCUUUGUCUCUCUCGUGGGUUCUAAAAUCUCAAAACCCAAAAGAGAACCCCAACCCUCAAAGCUGAAAACCCGUGAAACCUCUUCUCUCUUGCAUCUCUCUCUCUCUGCUUGCGUUCUAUCCUCUCAGGCGAGUGAGUUUCGCACGUCCUUCCACCGCAAGCUGGCGGCAUCUGCCGUCCUUUUCCUUUGCCCUUGUCGCGAGUAGUUGCUGUUCGCAAGUGUGGUGCUCGUGCACCGUCUCUCUUCCCUUUGUUUUGUUGUUGUUGUUGUGUUUGCGUCGCACCACGGCGCGGGGGAACCGCCGGAGCUUUGCUCCCUCUUCCUUGUUUGUGGGUACAUGAAGGUAAUGUAUAAUGAAGAACGUUCGAUGUUGGAUGUUUGUUGUAUCCUUUAUACUAGUUGUACUCGGCGAGGACGAUCAACUUUGUAAUAUUAUAGUAGUUAAUAGUUAAUUUGUAAUUAAAUUAAAAAGGUUUGAGUUUGUAAAGUCUAGACUUGUUUGGGUUGCUGGAUUUUGAGGAUACAGGAUUACGAAUCGGACGCGAGUCCUAAAUUAAGUUUUAGGCGGUCCGUAUUACAAAUGGAACUCUGCCGAAUUUUCUGUAGAAUCUUAGUAACAUAUCUAGUUGUUUAAAAUAUUUGAGGAUCAAUUAAUAUAGUUAUUAGAGUUAGAGGUUCUAA